rnacentral:lncRNA from 1 species
UGCAGUUAGACCUUUCAAGAGGCUGAUUUUUGAAUUCUAUUUUCAUGAAAGCAAUAUGAAUCUGUUAGACCAACUCUGCGUAUAUACUGAGUGUUCUGCUUGAAUGCUGAUAUUUUCUGUUCUGGAAUAUGAAUACAAUGGAUAAUCUGUUUUCUGAAUUGGAUGACUGGAAUUCCCCUUCUCUCUCUGUUCUUAAGAUGUUGCCACGUUGAUUUUUUUUUCUCAUGAGCCUUUGAAGAGAGCAGCCCUGUCUCUCUUGAACGUCAGAUACAAAAUGACUUGGCAACACCAGAAGCCUGUUGCUUGCAGAUCUCCAAUCUGUUAAUUACCUUGAUUUAUUUUGAAUCAGCUUUCAGCCACUGAGAUUCGUUACGGUCCAUUCAAGUCUCUGCCACAAUUCAACACUUUUUACUUUUUUUCUUAAUAUAAGGAACAUUGCCUAUCGUUUCUUCACUAUUUUGAUUUGUAGUGUGUUUUAUUCCUGAUAAACUGUUUUGGAUUAGCAUUAUUUCUCUGUAAUACAAAAAUAUGGUCAAUUCCAACCUUAAAUAGAACAGCAGCUACUGAAUAUAUUAAGCUGGUAUUGACAUUGUUUAUGGAAUUUCAUAACUGUAUAUGGUACUUUAUAGAACACAUAAAAACAUAAUCCAUCUGACAUCAUGUUAGUAUCCAUUUCCAUCUCAGCUCAUAUCACCCUGCUAAUUUCCCUACAUUGGUGAGGCGUUACACAUUCAUGCCAUGACGCUAAGAUAGUGCACAGAAAAUAGGAAUGAGUUGCCUUUUUAUUAUUAUUAUUUACACACACUAUUUUUGCCAUGAUUGUAUAAGCUGUAAUUUUCACUAUUCUCCUAGGGUAGCCAAAAAAGGCACCAUAAGAAUCUUGAAAACACCUCUGCAGUAAACCUAAUAGAUCUAUAUGGCUGGAAUAAAUAGUCACUGCCAUGCUACUAAAGGGAAAUGAUAUUGAAAGGAAUAUACUGUUCUCUGUAAACAAAGAGAAAAUGACUACAUAAACCUGUACUUCUUUUUUUCUCAUCAGAGCUAUGUAUUUUGGCAUGUCACAAUUUUCCAAUACUGAUGUCCAUGUUUCCUAGUUCAAAUCUUCAAAAGGGAGACAAAUGAAUCUACCUUAACUACCGUGUUCAAAGCUGGCCCAAUUAAUGAUGGCUCCGCCAGGAGACAUAUGGUACAUGAAACUAAUUUAGUCUAAACAUGGCAACUAUGCUCAGCCCUUCACUUGAGAGGGUAAAGUAUUUCUAAAGAAGAGUGUAUAAAAGGUAAGUGUGGCAAGAUCUCUUCUACAUUUCACCUUUGAUAUUGUCUAGCCUUUGUGUUUCUGUACAUCCUUUGUCAGGGAUGCUACUCCCACUAUGUGCUUAUAACCUUUUUUAAUUCAUACUUUUAAGGUGAAAUCACAUGUCC